AUGAUUUAUAAAAAUUUUGAAUUUAUCAAAAAAAUGUGGAGAAUUGAAAAUUUCAAAAAACUAUACGCAUUCCAUCCUUAAUGAAUCCCUUCGAAAUGUUCAAAUGACGAGACAUAACCUCACCAACGAGAAGCAUCGAUCUACGCGGCUAGGCAAACGAGGAAGAUCAAUUUGCAUCGGAGGAGGUAAUCGAGACCGAAGAAGAAAUCGAGCGUAGGAAGAGAAGGCGGAGAAUCACUCGUAGCAAGAUUGUGUCGCUGAUUCAUUAAUUUACCGGUGCCUAGAGGAAGGAGCGGGGGGAGCGGCGCAAAAACCGUUGCAACAAGACGGAAAGGCGGGUGCAGGAAGCUGGUCCGUAAUUGACGAUUCUUCAUAACGGAAUCCCUUCCCUUUUAUUCGCGCGAAGAACGGCAGGAAUUGCUGCUCGAUGAUGAGUCUAUCUUCUUUUCUUUUCCUUCCUCUUCUUCCCCUUCUUUUUCUUCUUCUUCUUUUUAUAACUCUGAACGUGAUCGAACGUGUCGAGUCCUCGACUUUUUCCGCAUGAAAUUUCUUCGAUCGUAAUUUUCAAUGAACCGUUCGAUCGAAUCAAAUCGUCUGGACUCGAGAUUUCGUUUUGUUUUUAUAAAAAUGAAAUUUGUAUGCGUAUACAUCGAAGAUAAUUUUCACGAGGAGAUUAAUUUAUGCGAUUCGUGGAUUUCGAAAUAUCGAGUUUCGAAUUGUCUUUAUCUUUUUUUCAAUAUUCUCGAAAGACUAUUUUUCGAUAUCGUAGUUAAUUUUUAAAUUCUAACUUAACCUGUAUUAAACUUAUCGAAUUUUUCGAACGUUUCAAAGUUUCGAGUAUCGAUUAUUCACCGAUAAUCACAAUUUGUAAGUUAGGUUAGUCGACCAGUUCGAUUUUGAUAAAACGGUGAAAAGAGGAUGAAUAGUGUGUAAUUCAAGAUUGUUAAUGGGAAUCUUUGGAGGAUGACCUCGGGCUAUUUGGUUCAAUGGCGGUUGAUUCAAUCCUCGAGCAGCGAGGCUGAACGACUCCUAUUUAGCGGGACUUAAUCGAGCCACUACCAAAUUAAAAGAAACCUCUACAUCUCGAGAUCUCUGCAGGAUCAAUUGAACCUUUUGUGUUCCUUUUGUGAUAUAUUAGAUGAUUGGAAAUCGACGAUGAUCGUUGUUAUCUCGAAAGAGAUAGAACGAAAACGGAUAUCACAUUCUAUCGAUUUUUUAACAAUUUCCAUUAACAUGGAGAAUGUAUAAUUAUUUCCGCGUAAUUUAAAAUUGAAAAUUUAAUCGAACUUGAAUUUUUAAAAUCCGUACAUUCUUCGGAAUUUUCUAUCGUGAAAAUUGAAAUGAACUUUGUCAAUAUGUUUUCAAAACCAGGAAAAUUUAUUAUCGCAAUCGUAAUUAUCGUUGUUAUAGCAAACAUUGUAAUUAUCGAAACCUCGAAAAAAAAAAAUUAUUAUUAAAACAGUGUAGAAAUCUGUUUCGCAAAAAACUAGAAAUAGAAAACCUGUAAUUCAACCCCAUUGAAUAAAUUAGCUUGCAAAGUAUGUUGGAGAAGGUAUGUAAAUCGCAAUAAAUAUCUUCUCAAGGAAAACUUGCACAUUGACACGGAAGAAAUUCGAAAAUGGCGAAAUCUGUAGGUAACAAAGGAACCUGCAUGUUCAGCCGAUAUAUACCUUGAGAAAAAUUACUAAGCAAACUCGAAAAUAAUAUUUUCCCCAGGAAUAGGAAUGAAAAAACUGCACGUUCCAUCCGAGAUGUCCGCCGCGCCCUGUACAAAUAAAUUGCUAGAACUCGACGUCUCUUUUCCUCUCUCAUUCUUAUUUCAUUGCUCGGUCUCACUCUCGAGAAGGAGAUCGAAUUGAAUGGCCAUUGCUGGCAGUCGCACCUUGCGGCAACGAGGAGGGACGUGUACGUACGGUCGAUUAAGUCGAUUGGAUAAAGACCGAGAGAGAGCAAAACCGGUGAUCUCGUUCCACGCGGUGGCCCCGAUGUAUCUAUAACCGUGUUCCACGGUCAUAGGCGCGAGUAUUGCUACAAAUGAGAGUUUGAGGCGUCACUGACUCGCCGUGCAACUCUCUUGUCUCGCUCUCUCGACUCUGCAUUCCUUUCUAAGCCUGUCCUCUCCGUUUGUUAUCGCUUAUUGAGUCUGAUUCGAGAAUCGUCCCGAUUAUAUUCAUUUUUCUUCCCUUCUAACGUCGAUAACGUUGAUUUUUAACGAUCGAACAAAAUUUUUUUUAGGUUAGAUAAACAUCGUGAUCGAUUAUUUAUUGAUAUCGAUACAGUUUUCGAUAAAUUCUUAUAUUUUGACCACGGUUAUCGUGAUUAGAUUUGGAAAAUUUCGUUAAAGUUGAAUGUAAUUAUCUAUUGAAAAAAGUGAAUACGUGGCGCGAGAAGGAGAUCUCGUAGCGGACAAACGACGUGGAAAGUCCAACGAGACAGCAGUUGGCACACAGUCCGGCUCUCGAUUCAUGCGACAUCACGUGUCGCAUCCGAAGAUACACGCUUUCUUUGUGUGGCAUUAACGUAUUCCGACUUGGACGCUGCAUCGGAAACACCGUUCUAAAUCGGUUUCAAAAAGUUUGAACCGUGUAUCCCCAUGAGAAAGUAUCCACUAUCUAUCUUACGUGAUUGCAUAAUCGACGCAAAAAGAAAAAAAAACUAAAAAACAAGCGGAAUAAGAAUAAUUAAGAGGUUAGAAAUACAGCCAGGAAAUCGUAAAAAGAUAGAGAAAGCGGGGCGCCAUUAAAUUACAGGUAAACGAAUCAUAUUUCAUUCUCCAAUUUCUUCUGAAAUUCGCUGUGUCUAUUAAAAAAAAAAAAAAAAAAAAAAAAAGACAGAAAAAAUUAU
rnacentral:lncRNA from 1 species